UACAGAGGGGGCGAGCGUUGUUCGGAAUUACUGGGCGUAAAGGGCGCGUAGGCGGCCCGCUAAGUCGAACGUGAAAUCCCCAGGCUCAACCUGGGAACUGCGUCCGAUACUGGCAGGCUUGAAUCCGGGAGAGGGAUGCAGAAUUCCAGGUGUAGCGGUGAAAUGCGUAGAUAUCUGGAGGAAUACCGGUGGCGAAGGCGGCAUCCUGGACCGGCAUUGACGCUGAGGAGCGAAAGCCAGGGGAGCAAACGGG
rnacentral:rRNA from 1 species